AUAUAUAUGUGUGUGUGUGUGUGUGUAUGUAUAUGUGUAUACACACAACACACACACACACACACACACAUAU
ensembl:miRNA